AUAGUCUCGGGAAGCAUCCGAGAUUUUGUCUGCCCACUGUUAUUAUAAAAGGCCGCAGAACUUUAACUGUGCAAAGGUAGCGUGAUCACUUGUCUUUUAAAUGGAGACUGUAUGAAUGGCCGCACGGGGACAAGCUGUCUCCUUCGGGUUUUUGUGAAUUUGCUAAGAGGGUGAAAAAUCCCUCGUGCGGAAAAAAGACGAGAAGACCCUAAGAGCUUUUUAAAAGAAUCAAAUAAGGUUUAAUAUUUUGUUGGGGCAACAGGGGAACAAUGAACUUCCCCCAUCACCUGCUACUAAUUGAAGGAGUAAGCUACCUUAGGGAUAACAGCAUAAUUUUUUAAAGUUUGUGACCUCGAUGUUGGACUAGGUAUAGGGCAGCCUCAGAAGGGCUUUCUUAGGCUCUGUUCGAGCAAU
rnacentral:rRNA from 1 species